AGCGAACGCUGGCGGCAGGCCUAACACAUGCAAGUCGAACGCCCCUUCGGGGGAGUGGCAGACGGGUGAGUAACGCGUGGGAACGUGCCCAUCGGUUCGGAACAACCCAGGGAAACUUGGGCUAAGACCGGAUACGCCCCUCGGGGGAAAGAUUUAUCGCCGAUGGAUCGGCCCGCGUCUGAUUAGCUUGUUGGUGGGGUAACGGCCCACCAAGGCGACGAUCAGUAGCUGGUCUGAGAGGAUGAUCAGCCACACUGGGACUGAGACACGGCCAGACUCCUACGGGAGGCAGCAGUGGGGAAUAUUGGACAAUGGGCGCAAGCCUGAUCCAGCCAUGCCGCGUGAGUGAUGACGGCCCUAGGGUUGUAAAGCUCUUUCGCACGCGACGAUAAUGACGGUAGCGUG
rnacentral:rRNA from 1 species